rnacentral:rRNA from 1 species
CUAAGGAAUAUUUCCGCAAUGGACGAAAGUCUGACGGAGCGACGCCGCGUGGAUGAUGAAGGCCGGAAGGUUGUAAAUCCUUUUAUGACUGAGGAAUAAGUGAAGUGAGGGAAACGCUUCAUGGUGACUGUAGGUCAUGAAUAAGCAACGGCUAAUUACGUGCCAGCAGCCGCGGUAACACGUAAGUUGCGAGCGUUGUUCGGAAUUAUUGGGCGUAAAGGGUAUGUAGGCGGUUCUGCAAGUCUGGUGUGAAAUGCCGGGGCUCAACCCCGGAACUGCGUUGGAAACUGCAGGACUUGAAUCGCUGGGGGGCAGCCAGAAUUCCAGGUGUAGCGGUGAAAUGCGUAGAGAU